CCUACGGGUGGCAGCAGUGAGGAAUAUUGCUCAAUGGACGAAAGUCUGAACCAGCCAUGCCGCGUGCGUGAAGACGACUCUAUGAAUUUUAAGCUGCUUUUGUAGGAGAGUAAACGCCGAUACGCGUGUCUGUCUGCCCGUAUAGUACGGAUAAAGAUCGGCUAACUCCGUGCCAGCAGCCGCGGUAAUCCGGAGGAUUCAGGCGUUAUCCGGAUUUAUUGGGUUUAAAGGGUGCGUAGGCGGUAGGAUAAGUUAGAGGUGAAAGCCCGAGGCGCAACUUCGGAAUUGCCUCUGAGACUGUGAGGCUAGAGAGUAGUUGAGGUAGGUGGAAUGCAUGGUGUAGCGGUGAAAUGCGUAGAUAUCAUACAGAACACCGAUUGCGAAGGCAGCUUACCAAGCUAUAUCUGACGUUGAGGCACGAAAGCGUGGGGAGCAAAGAGGAUUAGAUACCCCAGUAGUC
rnacentral:rRNA from 1 species